rnacentral:tRNA from 1 species
GCCUGGGUGGCUCAGUUGGUUAAGCGUAUGACUCUUGAUUUCAGCUCAGAUCAUAAUCUCAUGAGUUCGUGAGAUCAAGCCCCAUCUCAGGCU